rnacentral:rRNA from 1 species
GACGAACGCUGGCGGCGUGCCUAAUACAUGCAAGUUGAGCGCUGAAGGUUGGUACUUGUACCAACUGGAUGAGCAGCGAACGGGUGAGUAACGCGUGGGGAAUCUGCCUUUGAGCGGGGGACAACAUUUGGAAACGAAUGCUAAUACCGCAUAAAAACUUUAAACACAAGUUUUAAGUUUGAAGGAUGCAAUUGCAUCACUCAAAGAUGAUCCCGCGUUGUAUUAGCUAGUUGGUGAGGUAAAGGCUCACCAAGGCGAUGAUACAUAGCCGACCUGAGAGGGUGAUCGGCCACAUGGGGACUGAGACACGGCCCAAACUCCUAAGGGAGGCAGCAGUAGGGAAUCUUCGGCAAUGGACGAAAGUAUGACAGAGCAACGCCGCGUGAGUGAAGAAGGUUUUCGGAUCGUAAAACUCUGUUGGUAGAGAAGAACGUUGGUGAGAGUGGAAAGCUCAUCAAGUGACGGUAACUACCCAGAAAGGGACGGCUAACUACGUG